UACGGAGGGGGCGAGCGUUAUUCGGAAUUAUUGGGCGUAAAGGGCGCGUAGGCGGCUGUACAAGUCAAAGGUGAAAUCCCUCGGCUCAACUGAGGAACUGCCUUUGAAACUGUACGGCUUGAGGCCGGGAGGGGGUAGCGGAAUUCCCAGUGUAGCGGUGAAAUGCGUAGAUACUGGGAGGAACACCAGUGGCGAAGGCGGCUACCCUGGACCGGUUCUGACGCUGAGGCGCGAAAGCGUGGGUAGCAAACAGG
rnacentral:rRNA from 1 species